AAAGUGCUUCAUUGUUUGGGU
rnacentral:miRNA from 1 species